CGAGCUCUUGCUUCUGGUACUUUCGACCGCGUCUGGGUGCGGUGUGCUGAGUUCGCGUCAAGACAUCGGAGGUGGAGGUUGCGAGUUUAAGGUUCUAGAGUAGGUUGGCUAAGGCUUUUUUUAGUCCUAAACUUUGAUAGAGAGGCGUUCGUUGGGCCUUUCUCUUCGUCUUGAGUGGGGUGUCGACAGCCUGUGCAACAACCUGAGUUUUCGGGAAGUGGUUCUUCUCGAAGAAGUGGUUAAAGCCGCAGGCAGAGAUGUCUAACUACGUGAACGACAUGUGGCCGGGCUCGCCGCAGGAGAAGGAGCCCCCCACAACGGACCACUCCAGCCGCCUGUCGUCUUCGCGGACCAGUAGUCGCUCCUCUUCCAGAAGCUCUCGGUCCGGCAUCAGCGUCUCGAGUCGGUCGUCGUCCCGCAGUCGGAGCCUGCUCCGGAGAAGGGACAGGUCAAGGUCUCGCUCCCGGAGGCGCCACCAGCGGAAUUUCAGGCGUUACUCGCGGUCUUAUUCGCGCAGCCGCUCGCGGUCCCGCAGCCGCCGGUACCGAGAAAGGCACUACGGGUCCUCUGGGAGCUAUUACCGUCCUUCUUCGCGCCACCGAUCUCGUAGCAGGUCUCGCUCUCGAGGGACGUCCUACUAUAGAAGGGCCUACGCCCUCACGCGGGGACGACGGUACUACGGCUUUGGCCGCACGGUGUACCCGGAAGAACACCGAAGUUGGAGGGAGAGAUGCAGGACGCGGUCGCGGAGCAGAACCCCUUUUCGCUUAACUGAAAAAGAUCGAAUGGAGCUGUUAGAAAUAGCAAAAGCCAAUGCAGCAAAAGCUUUAGGAACAGCCAACCUUGACUUGCCAGCUAGUCUCAGAACUGUGCCUAAAGAAACAAACUGUGGAACAGCUGCACCAAAUAAUGCUGUGAAGUUUGAGGUAAGUGUUCCAUGUUUAUCCAAAGGAAAUACUUGGAAAAACUAACAGGAAGAUCUGAUUAGCCAUUUUUAUUUGAUUUACUUUAGAUUACAUUUCUCAGAAAGACUAAUAUAAUUUGCUAAUUUCAAAAUAGUAGAUCUGAAAAUACUAGAAAUGCUGUUAUCUGUGAAAAUGGAAGUUACGAACUUUAUAUUUUGGUGACCAACCAUCCCAUGUUGCCUGGGACUGUCCCAGAGAGUCCAUGGUCCAGGAGCUCCUGUUGGGUGCAGAAAGUUCUGGUUUUCAGCAGUGAGUUGUGGACAAGCUACCUAAAUGUCAAAAAUAACAGAUCUGAAGAUACUAGAUAGGCUCUCACCCAUGGAAAUGGAAGAAUAAUGGACUUUAUUUUGGCUUGACGAAAUACUAAUCACUGUUAUGCCCUGUUAAUAUAUUGUAAUUGGUACUUGGUUUGAUAUCUAUAUAAUUAACAGAUACUUGUAAACUCUAGGUUUUACACAUAAUUUAUCUGUAGCUUUCAUUUGCAGCAUUAUGUUCCCACAAAUUCUGUACUCAACAUACAGUAUAGUUUACCUGCUUUAUUUCUGUCUUAUAGAAAUCUUGAAUGUGGUCUCCAGACAUUGAUGAAGAAAAUCUGUGAAUUCUGUAGCAAAGCCAGCACUUGAGAAAGCAGCUAAAGCCACUGCCGGAGAGACUUCUUCAGGAUCCCCAAAAGUAAAUAAGAAAAAAAGUCCGUAUGAACUGUGGUUGCCUGUGUAAAUGAAGAAAGCUAAUGGCUAAGGUUGUCUGAAACUGCACUUUAUUGAAAGUUUCUAGCAUUAACCCAAUCUCUCUGAGCCACUUAGUGGUAAUUGUUGCAAAUAAAAAACCCAACAUGAGAAGAUUUAAAUACUCAAAUAUUUAAAUAUUAACAUUUUAGGUUUGUCUUGCAGAUGUGAGAUAGCACACAUGGUCCAGAGGUUACGAACAGGUGGGAGUCUUGUAUAUACUAUAUUUGUACAUAUUUUGUAUAAUUGGUUACGUAGAAGUAAAAUUUGUAAGACACACGUGGUAAUUGAAUAUUGAACUGUGUUUGUGUUAUGUAUAUUUGUUAAUAAAUGCCAUUGUUAAAUUAUUUUGGUGUCACUUUAUCCUGUAUAUGUUACCUAAUUCCCAAGUGUGGUCCAUGGACUGAUAGGGGCUUUGCUGGCCAUUGAGUGGAAGCUUGUUAGAAAUGCUGAAGCUCAAGUCCCUACCCCAGACCUGAGUCAGAAUCUGAAUUUUUUUAAAAGUUCCCAAUUGAUUUAGAUACUUAUUAAAAUUUGAAAAGCUUGACCUAAAAUUUAUGCACUACUAGAGUAGUAUUACCCUGAAACAGUAAUAAGGGCUUCAGGGCAGGAAACUAAGCCAGAAAGAAGUUGAAAUGGAAACUCAAUAAGCUGUAGAAUCUGAGAUUUAAUUGUAUUUCUUUAUUCUUAGUGCUUUUUAAAAGCUCCUCCUUACCAAAUUGAAAUUCUUAGGUUAAAAAAAAAAAAA